GAUGAACGCUGGCGGCGUGCCUAAUACAUGCAAGUCGAGCGAACAGACGAGGAGCUUGCUCCUCUGACGUUAGCGGCGGACGGGUGAGUAACACGUGGAUAACCUACCUAUAAGACUGGGAUAACUUCGGGAAACCGGAGCUAAUACCGGAUAAUAUAUUGAACCGCAUGGUUCAAUAGUUAAAGACGGUUUUGCUGUCACUUAUAGAUGGAUCCGCGUCGCAUUAGCUAGUUGGUAAGGUAACGGCUUACCAAGGCGACGAUGCGUAGCCGACCUGAGAGGGUGAUCGGCCACACUGGAACUGAGACACGGUCCAGACUCCUACGGGAGGCAGCAGUAGGGAAUCUUGCGCAAUGGGCGAAAGCCUGACGGAGCAACGCCGCGUGAGUGAUGAAGGUCUUCGGAUCGUAAAACUCUGUUAUUAGGGAAGAACAAAUGUGUAAGUAACUAUGCACGUCUUGACGGUACCUAAUCAGAAAGCCACGGCUAACUACGUG
rnacentral:rRNA from 1 species